UCAUAUAGGCUGGAGUUCGGAAGAGGAAUUUAUCAAAGCAUUACGCUAUCAUCGUGGAGACUCGAAUCUCGAGGUUCCUGACAGAGGGCCCGCAUUAGUGGUCGUUGGAAGCAAGAGAGAGAGACAAUCAUGCUCUUCCACUGACUCAGAAAUUCCAUCGAGACAAGAGGUUGAUUUCGGUUCCAACGUCAUUAAUAUCUUCAUAGGCACCCCCGCGGCCGUGCCAGCGUCGGUUUCGACGGCCGGUCAAAGGCCCCCGGAAUGUGUCGCCUCUCGGGGCGUCUUAUAGCCGGGGGUGCAAUGCGGCCAGUCGGGACCGAGGAACGCGCUCCGGCACGGACGCUGGCUUAAUGGUCGUCAGCGACCCGUCUUGAAACACGGACCAAGGAGUCUAACAUCCACGCGAGUGUUCGGGUGUCAAACCCGUCCGCGCAGUGAAAGCGAAUGGAGGUGGGAACCCCUGAGGGUGCACCAUCGACCGAUCCUGAAGUUUUCGGAUGGAUUUGAGUAGGAGCGUGGCUGUUGGGACCCGAAAGAUGGUGAACUAUGCCUGAAUAGGGUGAAGCCAGAGGAAACUCUGGUGGAGGCUCGCAGCGGUUCUGACGUGCAAAUCGAUCGUCAAAUUUGGGUAUAGGGGCGAAAGACUAAUCGAACCAUCUGGUAGCUGGUUCCUGCCGAAGUUUCCCUCAGGAUAGCAGUAACGUUUUCAGUUUUAUGAGGUAAAGCGAAUGAUUAGAGGCCUUGGGGUUGAAACAACCUUAACCUAUUCUCAAACUUUAAAUAUGUAAGAAGCCCUUGUUACUUCGUUGAACGUGGGCACUGGAAUGGAUCGUUACUAGUGGGCCAUUUUUGGUAAGCAGAACUGGCGAUGCGGGAUGAACCGAACGCGAGGUUAAGGUGCCGGAAUGCACGCUCAUCAGACACCACAAAAGGUGUUAGUUCAUCUAGACAGCCCGACGGUGGCCAUGGAAGUCGGAAUCCGCUAAGGAGUGUGUAACAACUCACGGGCCGAAUGAACUAGCCCUGAAAAUGGAUGGCGCUCAAGCGUGCUACCCAUACCUCGCCGUCGGGGUAGGAUCGAUGCCCCGACGAGUAGGCAGGCGUGGAGGUCCGUGACGAAGCCCGGGGAGUGAUCCCGGGUCGAACGGCCUCUAGUGCAGAUCUUGGUGGUAGUAGCAAAUACUCAAAUGAGAACUUUGAGGACUGAAGUGGGGAAAGGUUCCAUGUGAACAGCACUUUUACUGGUGUUAGUCGAUCCUAAGACAUAGGGAAAUUCCGUUUGAAUCCACCACAAAUG
rnacentral:ncRNA from 1 species